CCAGCAACCCGCCAGCGUCCACUUCUUUCCAGAGGCUACUAGGUUGCUCUCCUUUCUCCCGUUCUUUUCUCCUACAGAGGUCCCGCCGCACUUCUUUGCCCUCCCACCGCGAGCACGAGCGCCAAACCAAGCAGUGCGAGGAGAAGAGACCGCGAGAGUCUUCUGGAGACCACUCCUUCGCGAGAAGCCCAACCCGCACCGCUAUCCCGUGACCAUGGCAAACUCCGGCGACGAGGCGCGCGUUGUGACGGACCUCCGCUCCGCUGCGGAGUCGGCGGGCGGCGAUGAGGCGCUUCACGAAAUCGAGUCUCUCUGCAUGCGCUGCGGCGAGAAUGGCACCACGAGGUUGCUGCUGACUACGAUCCCCAACUUCCGGGAGGUUGUUCUGAUGGCUUUCGAGUGCCCGCAUUGUAAUGAAAGGAACAACGAGGUCCAGUUUGCUGGACAGCUCCAGCCCAAGGGAUGUUGCUACCGCUUGGAGAUCCCUCAAGGGCAGAACGAGAUACUGAACCGUCAGGUCGUCAAAUCUGAUUCAGCAACUAUCAAGAUUCCAGAACUGGACUUUGAAAUUCCUCCGGAAGCUCAACGUGGAACACUUUCAACAGUGGAAGGUAUUAUUAUGCGAGCUGUGGAGGAGUUGCAGGCACUUCAAGAUGAAAGAAAGAAAGCGGAUCCUCAAAAAGCUGAAGCUAUUGAUCAGUUUUUAAUAAAAUUGAGAUCUCUUGGAUCAGGAGAAGCUGCGUUUACCUUUGUUCUUGAUGAUCCUGCUGGAAACAGCUUCAUCGAGAACCCGCAUGCUCCUUCAUCAGAUCCUUCGUUAUCUGUCAGUUUCUAUGAAAGGACAUCUGAACAACAAGCAGCACUUGGUUUUCUUGUUGAUCCACCAACCGGAGAAUCUGGAGAUCCUUCGCAGAAUGCUUCAACAGUUGAGGCAAAUUCUGUCGAGUUACCAAAGGUGCCCCAUGGAUCAGUUGGAGCUGUCGCAGGUCGUCGUGCUAUUGCUCAGGGAAACCCUGAUGAAAUUGCUGCAGCGCUGUGUAGGUAUACAGCUCCAGAAGAGGUUGAUACUUUGCCAUCAACAUGUGGAGCCUGUGGAGCUGCAUGUGUGACUCGUUUCUUUGCUACAAAAAUCCCGUAUUUCCGUGAGGUAAUUGUUAUGGCAGCUUCAUGUGACCUGUGUGGUUAUCGCAACUCAGAGUUGAAGCCUGGCGGUGAAAUUCCGGCUAAAGGAAAGAAAAUUAUGUUACAUGUGCAAAAUGUAAAAGAUCUUUCUCGCGAUGUCAUAAAGUCAGAUUCUGCCGCUGUGAAAGUACCUGAACUUGAGUUGGAGCUGUCAAUGGGUACAUUGGGUGGUAUUGUCACGACAGUUGAAGGUUUAAUUGUGAAAAUAUGUGAGGCUCUGGAGCGGGUUCAUGGAUUCCAAUUGGGUGAUAGCACAAAUGAAUGGAAGAAAAAGAAAUGGGAUGAUUUCCAGCAAAGAUUAUCAAAGUGUGUAAUUUCAGCUCCUGAGUUUACAAGAGCCCUGGACCUUAAUUAUCGAUGAUGCGUUAGCGGCUUCGUUUGUCGCCCCAGCCACAGAUUUGAUAGAAGAUGACAGCCAGCUACUCAUUGAGGACUAUGAGAGGAGUUGGGAGCAGAAUGAGGAGCUUGGCUUGAAUGACAUGGACACCUCCUCUGCAGACAUUGCUUACAAUAUGACCAGCGCAGAAUAAGUUUAGAUCUUUUUGUGCUCAGUGUUGUAGCCUGUAAUAUUAUGGAUCUAAAACUUGAUCGCUCGUAUUUUGAAAAAAACUUGAUAAACUUCCUGUUUUCUGGGAACAUCUACUCCCUUGGUCCCAUAACAUAAUAUAAGAAGGUUUUUCACACU